rnacentral:rRNA from 1 species
GACGAACGCUGGCGGCGUGCUUAACACAUGCAAGUCGAACGAAGCUUGAUUACGGAUUCUUCGGAUGAAGUAUGAUAUGACUGAGUGGCGGACGGGUGAGUAACGCGUGAGUAACCUGCCCUUCAGAGGGGGGUAGCGUUUGGAAACGAACGGUAAUACCGCAUAAUGUAUUUUGACCGCAUGAUCGAAAUACCAAAGAUUUAUCGCUGAAGGAUGGACUCGCGUCUGAUUAGGUAGUUGGUGGGGUAACGGCCUACCAAGCCGACGAUCAGUAGCCGGACUGAGAGGUUGAUCGGCCACAUUGGGACUGAGACACGGCCCAGACUCCUACGGGAGGCAGCAGUGGGGAAUAUUGCACAAUGGGCGCAAGCCUGAUGCAGCAACGCCGCGUGAAGGAAGACGGUUUUCGGAGUGUAAACUUCUGUUCUUAGUGAAGAAUAAUGACGGUAGCUAAGGAGCAAGCCACGGCUAACUACGUG